rnacentral:tRNA from 1 species
ACCUCUGUAGCUCAGUUGGUUAGAGGGCUGCACCGGAAUUGCAGGGCCCAGGUUUGAUUCCUGCUAGAGGGC